rnacentral:rRNA from 1 species
CGCGUAGGCGGGAUAUUAAGUCUAUUCUAAAAGUGCGGGGCUCAACCCCGUGAUGGGAUGGAAACUAAUAUUCUUGAGUACCGGAGAGGAAAGCGGAAUUCCCAGUGUAGCGGUGAAAUGCGUAGAUAUUGGGAGGAACACCAGUGGCGAAGGCGGCUUUCUGGACGGUGUCUGACGCUGAGGCGCGAAAGCCAGGGGAGCGAACGGGAUUAGAUACCCCGGUAGUCCUGGCCGUAAACGAUGGGUACUAGGUGUAGGGGGUAUCGACCCCUCCUGUGCCGGAGUUAACGCAAUAAGUACCCCGCCUGGGGAGUACGGCCGCAAGGUUGAA